CUGUCGAACUAUGAAACUGGGAAGUUUAUAAAGGUAUACACCGGACAUACCAACAAAGUAUUCUGCAUCACAUCCGCGUUUUCUGUGACCAACGGCAAGUACAUUGUGACAGGAUCUGAAGACAACUGUGUGUAUCUGUGGGAUCUUCAGCAUAAAACUAUAGUCCAGAGACUACAAGGCCACACAGACGCCUUGGUCUCUGUGAGUUGCCAUCAAGAUAUGGAAACAGGAUACUUAGAACAUGAGUUUGAAUACAAAACGGAAAUUUGUAAUUUGCUUCGUGAGAUUGAUUAUACACGUUGAAGUGUGAUUGCGAUAUCUGCAUGGUGGUCAAGAUAUAUACAUCACACAUGAAAGCAUGCUAAUGAGAUAUUGUUAUUAAUAUCCACACUUUCAAUGUUAUUUAUCAAACUUACAAUACUGAAUAAAUAUGAAGUCCCCCUGGGAUUAGUGAAUUAAAAAAACUCUGUAAUUUCUCUCUCAGAUUCAACAUUCAACAUUCAACAGUAAGGAGGAGGGUAACAUCAAGAAUGAGAUACGCAACUUGUUACGCUCAAUCCUUUACCUCCUCUACAGAGCAGUCACACAAUAUUAGAGUCUCGAGCUGACUGUCUUUGCAAGUAUGCACCAUCGCAAGUUUCCUUCAUGACAAACUUUCUAAUAGAGACCAAUGUGACAUAUAAUUUCAUUUGUACUAUUAGACCAAACAAAAACUAACCACCAAAAACUUCCAUAAAUUCUGGAUGUGCUAGACAGAUCCAUAUACUUAAGUUUACCAAAGCCCUGUAAUACAUUUCCACUGUUAUUAUUUUUGGUUUUGUAAAGCACAUAUAGUAGUACCAAAUAAAGAGAGAAAGGUAUACGAAAAUAAAACUUAAGGAGCCAUACCUUAACAAUAAUUUGGGCCAUUGCAUCACCUAGGUUAAGUUAAGAUGGGUCAGUUGGUCACGUACGUUUCGAUGGUUGAAUAUGUUAUAACGCCUAACCCACCAAUCAUAUACAAGUAAAGGAAAAAAAAAACUGGAAGUACAACAAAAGUAAAGAACCAUAGGUGGAAAACCUUUACCUCCAAAAGAAGUUUCUAAGAAUAGAUGCUCUACCAAGUCGUGAGUAACUCUAGCACCAGAUCUAAUCAAUCAUAGUUGCCAAGAAAGAAGAAGAAGCUAUGGCAUAUCCUAACGUAUUUAGUAGAAGACUGAUAUUGACACACAAAAAAUGAGGUAGGUAAAUUGUUCUCUAAUAUUUGAAAGCAUACAUUUUUUAAGUUUAAAAUUGUGCAGAGGAUUUUUUUUAACGUUUUUUUGUGAUCUUAAAAUUCACUCAGAAAUAGAGUACACGUUUAUGAUAUGUAUUACAGUAUUAGAAGUAAUUUAAAAGAAGAAAGUUUGGACUACUAUGAACAAUGGAAAAUGUAUGUCUUAUUAAUAGGAAGGUCUAGAUCCCCGAUCAACACAAGGGUGUCUAAGAACAAAAUAAUAUGAGUGUAUUGAGACUGCAGUUUAGGUACGAAGAGAAUGGCCUCCCUCUGCUUGGCAUAUCCUACUCCUUUUAUAGGUCUUUAGAGGUGAAUCAUAAUGGUGACGUGAUUUCCAGCGUGGAUCAAGCGUCUUUAAAGUGAUUUUUAAUGUCUUUGAUUCUUGUAUGUUUUUAUUUGAUUCACCUAAUUCGCCGAGUUCUUUUUUGGCCUUUGAUAAUACUUUUUGGAUUUUAUUAUGCUUGGGCUGAUAUCUUGGAUUGUGUCUAGAGCGGGAUGAGAUCCGGCUCCAACACUUUUUUUUUUUUUUUUUUUUUGGUUUUUGAACUAAUUAGGACAAAUUAGGUAUUUUUAUAUUUGAGUUGACUUUCCAAAAAAACAGAGAUAGUAUAUAUUUCAUAUACAUAACAACUGACAAAAUUUAAUUUAUAACCAUUAUAAUUGAUUGGCUAUGAUAUUUGUACACAAAAAGUUGUUAUGUAUAUGUAUACAAUUAAUACAUAAAAAUAGUGAGAUAUCAAUAAUGAAAAAAAAAAGUGUACAUAAAGAAAGCUUGUAUUUGUGUACAACACGAACGGAUUUUGAUGUUGUUUGGUAGUUGUACACACAAAAAAAUUGUAAAAGUGUACACAAAAAGUUGUUAGAAUAUGACCAAAUAUAUUUGAUGUUUUAAAUAUGAUAUUGUAUGAAGAACUCUUGUAUGAAAGCAUGGUACAAUUUGGUUGAAUUUAAGAGUUUAAAGAACAUAUGUAACUGUACACAUGUAGUUUAAAGAACAUUUGUAAAUGGAUACAUAUUCAGUUUGAAGUUAAUGUACACAUGUACACUUUGAAGUUAAUGUACUAUUAUCUCCAAUAUCCUCUUUGUCUCCACCAACCAACAUUAAUUGUUUCUUAUAACAAAAAUACUAAUAUAUUUGAAAAAGAAUCCAAAAACACAGAAGUUGAUUCUGAUAUGUAAUAAAGCAAACUAGGCAAAAUAUAAGAAAAUAAGGCUCCAUGGUGUAAUACAUUAUACACAUAUGAUGAUUGAUAAUUUGAUAGUAUAUAGUAUUAUAUGUCAACAAAAUGAAGAACAACAAGUUGAUGAACAAAACACAAAAUUCAAUUUAGUUUGCAUUAUAUGAUUCUAGAAGAUCCACACGACAAAAAUAUGAGAUUGGUGGUCUUGAUAAUAUAUCUACCAUAUCGGAUUACUCAACUUACCAGCACCAUCAUCAACAUCAUCACCAUUAUCAUUGUCAUCUUCAUUUUUACUGUACGUGUGUAUGAUAAAGUAUGAUAGCGUACUUGUGUACAAUAUAUAUGGAUAUGUACAUAUGUACGGUAAAUAUGAUAGUAUAUAUAGUAAAACAACCAGAAAUUAAUCAAGUUAACACUUAUCAUGAAGCUAGCAUGAAAACACAUGGACAGAUCAUGUGUACGGUAAAUAUGAUAGUGUACACAUGUAUAGUUUGAAUAUAAUGUACACACGACUUUUCUUUUCUCCAUUAAUAUUGCAAAAUUACGAAAAUAACCUCAUCUUCUUUCUUAGUCAUUGUCGACCCGAAACUCUAAUUUUCGCCUAUCUCGCCUAAUUUCCAGGAUUCUUUACAUUCUCAACUUGUUUUUCAUGUAUUUUUACCCAUAUGUGAUAUCUUUAUAUCCUAAUUCAUGACUUUAAUCUUUAAAAUUUGAACAAAAGUGAUUUUUUUUUGUUUCUGAUUUGUUGAACGAUUUGUUCCAUAAAAAUAUAGCUUGAUAUAUCUCAAAAGAUAGAUUGAAAAACAAAGACACUGAUUAUAAACAUAUUUUCUUUAUAAAAGAUUCUGAAAAAAUAACAUUCAAUUUACAAAAGAAAUAAGAAACUCAAGAGGAGGAAACAAAGAAGAUGAUACAUGGGACCCACUUCUUUUGUUUGCUAGGAAGAACCGUGAAAAAAGAUUAGUUUUGAAAUAUGAAAAGAUUAAGAGAGAGAAGAAGUGGGACCUAUUUAGUUAUAAUUUAUUUUGGUUUCAACUAUUAAGCGUAACAAAAAAGAAAAAAGUUAGUAGAAACUGCCUUGGUAGUAUAAACUGUUUCAUUGCGUGAUAAAAAAACUUAAAACUGUCCUAUAGUGUAAUUGUUUUUUGAUUGAACUUGUUUUGAAAAAUCCCAUGUGGUUUAAUAUUAUACUUAGAUUUUGACUCGCACGCCCGUGAUAGUGUAUUUUUUUUUAAAUAUGAUGCUAUUUGAUUUUUUAUGUCA